UCAAUUUCUUCUUCAUUCUUUCUUCUUCAUUCUUCUUUCAUAUUCUCAGUCUUUCUUUUCUGUUCUUCCUCUGUAAGAAUCGAGUGAUGAAUUUGAGAGCGGGUUAGAUAGAGAUUGACUGAUGAAUUAAUCAGAUGGUGAAGGAGGUGAUAUUGAUGUUAUUUAGGGAGAAAGAGAUUAACGAUUGUUAAGGUCUUGUGGUGAAUCAGGGGGAGUAGAAUUAUGGUUUCUGUUUUUAGGAUUUAUGAUGAUGAUGUUAAGUUGGUGAAGAUGAAAGAUUAAGAGGGUUAAUAUUUAAUUGAAGUUGUGGAGUUGUUUUAAGGUUUGAAUCAAAGAUUUAGGGUUAUGGAGUUAACUGGAUCCUGGAAGAUGAAUUCGAGGGUUUAAGUGACAAAUUAAAGACGGGUUUUGAUUAGAUAUGGAGUAGAAUUGUUUGUUUGGUUUCAAUUUCGAUUUCAGAGAAGAAUUGAAGAAUUAGGGUUCAUGUGUUCUUCCCCAAAUUGAAGUUCCGGUUUGAGUAGAAUUGAUUUGGUAAAUUGGCAAUUCAGAGGAUAUUGAAGCUUGGGUAAGUCUCUAAUUGCUUUAAUUUCGGUAUUUUGAAUUGAGUUUAUUAAAGUAUUUGGUUUAUUUGAUUGAGAAUAGAACCUGGAUUGAGAUAAGUGCAGAAUGGAAUUGUAAUUAUGGUUUAGAGUUGUAGUAGGAAGAUUGUUGAAGUUGCAGGGGAUAUAUAUGUAUGAACUGUGUAUCUAAUUGUUAAGGAAGCAGAAUUGGAUGUGUAAUCAUUAUGAUGUUGUUUGUAAGGUUGAGAUGAUUGAGGCAAAGACGAUGUUUAUGGUUUGGAGUGAAGUCAGCUCAUGGUUUAGUUGAUGCCAGGAAAUUUGUAUGAGCAGUGAAUAGAAUAAUGGAUGUAUUUGAGUAGGAAGUAAUGACCUUGCAGACCUGGAAGUGAUAUUGUUACAAUGUGGUGGUGUUGAAGGGAGAUGAAAUUAGUAAUGGAGCUGUAAUAUGCUGAGUUGGAAUAGAUGAAUGUAUUAGGUGAGAUAUGGACUGGUGCAGUAUGGCUAUGAUGAAGUGAUGUUUAAAUUUGUAUGAGUAGAUGAAGAUGUUGAGUUAGUGAAGCUGAGAUUGAAUAAUGGUGCAUGCAGUGUAUGUUUUGAGAUGAACUUAGAUUGAUGUAGGAGUUGAGGAUAUUGGAGUUGCAGGUGAUCAAGAAAGUGAAAGGGCAGAACUUGCAGAGAAGAGCUGAGUUAAUGAUGAACUGUUGGAUGAGUCGCAGUUGAGUUGUGCAGGCCUUUUUAUUAGUGGUUAUGAAGUUCAGUUUGUGAAGGUAAUUGCAGGCUUGAAGUUGUUGAGUUUUGAUGUCUGAGUGGUAGUUAAGAGUUAGGUGAGUGUAAACUUUUGCAGAGAGGAUGAAUUGGUGCUAGUUGCUGUUAGAGUUUGCUGUAAAAGAUUGGAACUGCAUUUGCAGUUAGUCUAUAUUAACAACGAUCGAUUCAAGGAUGAACCAGUGGAUCGUAGAUUUCGAGGUAGGCGUGGCUUGUCAUCAAAAGAGUUUCAGAGACAAAUCAAGAUGUACAUGUGACGAUGAAAGCUUCGAAGAAUUAUUUACGUCAGUUAGUUAGCUUUCGUUAUAUUUAUUCUGUGUUUGUAUACUAUUUAUAAAUCAACUCACUAUUGUGUAUGUAUCAUUUGAGAGAAGUUUUGUAUAUAUAUAUAUAUCAGAGUGGGGCUAGUUUUUGGAUUAAGUUCUGUAGCAGAUUUCUUAUUGAAUGCUUAAGUAUAUGAUUUGGAUUCUUAGUGUCUCUGUAUUUAGUUAAUCUCUUGGAUUAAUCAGCUGCUAGCUUUGGGGGCGCUACAAGAUGGUCAGGGAAUAUAAGUUGGUGGCUUGGUCGGAAUAUGAGAAGAAUGGAAUUGAGUUGUGCAAACCGACUUAAGAGAUCAGAGAAGGACAAUAGUAUUGUUGUGGCAGGAAGAAAAAUUGUUGUUGCCGGUGGAGGCGUGCAUGCUGGUCUGAAUUGUUGUAUGUGGAGCUUUUGGUCCGUGUGGAGUGAGUUAGUUUCUGGAGAGGAUUUUCCGGAGCUUGUAUACCAGUGAUGACGAGAAUUAGAAGGAGUCGUGAUUAUUAUUGGAUUGAGCUUUGGGAAGGUACCUGCUCAGUCCCAUUUGAAGCCUUAGCGACCCUUAUAUAUUUGAAUCGAGAAGAACAAAAGGGGAGAUGUCGGCUACUGUAGCCGCAAUUUGGAGAAGAGGAGAAAGGAAGGAGAGGCCGGUGACAAAGGCCAUAAAAAACAAAUGGUUUGGAGUUUUGUAUUCGAUUCCAUUUUGUUGAUUCUCUUGAAUAUUUUUAUGGCUUUUAAGAAAGCCAUGUUUUGCUAGAUUUUUAUG